rnacentral:rRNA from 1 species
UACGUAGGGUGCGAGCGUUAAUCGGAAUUACUGGGCGUAAAGGGCUCGUAGGCGGCCAACUAAGUCAGACGUGAAAUCCCUCGGCUUAACCGGGGAACUGCGUCUGAUACUGGAUGGCUUGAGGUUGGGAGAGGGAUGCGGAAUUCCAGGUGUAGCGGUGAAAUGCGCAGAUAUCAGGAGGAACACCGGUGGCGAAGGCGGGUCUCUGGGCCGUAACUGACGCUGAGGAGCGAAAGCGUGGGGAGCGAACAGG